GAACCUUUGGCACAGUGGUAGCGCGUGAGAUUCCAGAUUGCUGGAGUGUCCUCAAGGUCGUCCGUUCAAUCCGGGCAAGGUUCA